AGUGAACGCUGGCGGUAGGCCUAACACAUGCAAGUCGAACGGCAGCACAGUAAGAGCUUGCUCUUACGGGUGGCGAGUGGCGGACGGGUGAGGAAUACAUCGGAAUCUACUUUUUCGUGGGGGAUAACGUAGGGAAACUUACGCUAAUGCCGCAUACGACCUACGGGUGAAAGCAGGGGAUCUUCGGACCUUGCGCGAUUGAAUGAGCCGAUGUCGGAUUAGCUAGUUGGCGGGGUAAAGGCCCACCAAGGCGACGAUACGUAGCUGGUCUGAGAGGAUGAUCAGCCACACUGGAACUGAGACACGGUCCAGACUCCUACGGGAGGCAGCAGUGGGGAAUAUUGGACAAUGGGCGCAAGCCUGAUCCAGCCAUGCCGCGUGAGUGAAGAAGGCCUUCGGAUUGUAAAGCCCUCUUGUUGGGGAAGAACAGCAGCGGGUUAAUACCUCGCUGUUUUGACGGUACCCAAAGAAUAAGCACCGGCUAACUUCGUG
rnacentral:rRNA from 1 species